UCUGGGACGCCGCAGGGGACUUGCCACCGCGAGUCCCCGGUCCCUCUUCUGCCCUGGACGCGCCACACUUGGACUCGCUCCUCGGCUCCCUUCUUUCUCCCGCGGGCCCCUUUCUCCCCCGAGUUUGUCACCCUGGCACGCCCAUUUCCGGGCUCCCCCGGCCCUCCUACUCCAGGCAAAGCCUGAGAGCGACCCUGCGCUGAUGAGGAUCCCACAGCCGGGGGUCGCUUCCUGCUCCGGACUCCCUGGUGCACAAGCUGUCCAGGGGACCGAGCUCCCGGCUUCCCUACCCUCGAGGGUCGCGCUCACACUCUCGCACUCCGAGUGCAGGUCGUAGCUUGGGACCCGCCCUCUCCAGGCCUCAGGGCACCCGCUUUGGCUUCUGACCCCCGCCUCCCCAGGGAGUAACAGCGUCCCCACUGCUCCGUUCCCGGGAGCCGGGCUGCCGCGCCCUUCCUUCGCGGGCUCCCACCCCCAUUUCCGGGGUCUCCUCCCUCUUGCCUGUACCUUCCCGCGCUCCCUCCCCGCCCACCCCGCUGCCUGCCGGCACUCACCUGGUUGUUUUUGCAGAGAUCAGCCCACAUGCUGGUGCCGUCCCCUCCGCGCAUCAGGACGUGAGGAACCCGAGGAUACCAUGAAAUGGUAGAGUCGGAAUGAAUGCUAGAAAGCUCGUCCGUAUCUGCUUACUUUCGCAGACGAUCCUGGACCAGAGAUGAACACCGUGCCAUGAAGAUGACUUCUCCCAGGAACAUGGUUUGAGACUGAGACUCAUGACAGCCUCUACGGGCUGCAACACUUGUGUUUUGUAUACUUAGGUGAUGGAAGGAGGGUGAUUG